UUAUAGCUUACGGCCAUUUUUUUUUCUACCUUACUUUACGAUACGGUAACAAGUACGAGUGGUUGUAACAUGUUUUCUCAUUAUGAUUUCAAAAGUCCUAUGCUUCCCUGUUAUUCUAUUGUAUGGCCGCCACCACCACCACCACAACUAUACUACUACUAGAAAGAAGGGUGGGGGACAGGAUUCUUCAGAAGAACGUCUAUGCUGGCUACUGGAAUUAACGCUCACGCGCAUGCGCGCAUAUGAUGGGAUAAGUAAAAUUAACGGACUUAAUGCUUUGAAUUUUAUUUAUUGGAUUUGACUACGAGUCAAAUAAAAAGUUUCGUUAAUUAUUAAAAAUAUGACAAUCUGGUUGAACAUCUGAACAAACUAGUAUAAAAAUAUAUGUGUAUAUAUAUAUAUAUAUUUAUACAUACAAAUAAAUAAAUACCCACGAACGUUGUAAGAUUACAUCACUAUAUAACAAACACAAAUUUGU